rnacentral:rRNA from 1 species
UACGAAGGGGGCUAGCGUUGCUCGGAAUCACUGGGCGUAAAGCGCACGUAGGCGGCUUUUUAAGUCAGAGGUGAAAUCCUGGAGCUCAACUCCAGAACUGCCUUUGAUACUGGAGAGCUUGAGUCCGGGAGAGGUGAGUGGAACUGCGAGUGUAGAGGUGAAAUUCGUAGAUAUUCGCAAGAACACCAGUGGCGAAGGCGGCUCACUGGCCCGGUACUGACGCUGAGGUGCGAAAGCGUGGGGAGCAACAGGAUUAAGAA